AUUGAACGCUGGCGGCAGGCUUAACACAUGCAAGUCGAGCGGAGAUGAGGUGCUUGCACCUUAUCUUAGCGGCGGACGGGUGAGUAAUGCUUAGGAAUCUGCCUAUUAGUGGGGGACAACAUUCCGAAAGGAACGCUAAUACCGCAUACGUCCUACGGGAGAAAGCAGGGGAUCUUCGGACCUUGCGCUAAUAGAUGAGCCUAAGUCGGAGUAGCUAGUUGGUGGGGUAAAGGCCUACCAAGGCGACGAUCUGGAGCGGGUCUGAGAGGAUGAUCCGCCGCGUUGGGGCUGCGACACGGCCCAGAAUCCGACGGGAGGCAGCAGUGGGGAAUAUUGGACAAUGGGGGGAACCCUGAUCCAGCCAUGACGCGUGUGUGAAGAAGGCCUUAUGGUUGUAAAGCACUUUAAGCGAGGAGGAGGCUACUGAGACUAAUACUCUUGGAUAGUGUACGUUACUCGCAGAAUAAGCACCGGCUAACUCUGUGCCAGCCGCCGCCGUAACAC
rnacentral:rRNA from 1 species